rnacentral:rRNA from 1 species
CGAUAGUGAACCAGUACCGUGAGGGAAAGGCGAAAAGAACCCCGGCGAGGGGAGUGAAAAAGAACCUGAAACCGUGUACGUACAAGCAGUGGGAGCCCCACCACUAAGCCAGUGGUGAACUCCACAUCCGCAUCCUUUGCUGAGGAUACGGUUAACGGAGCGAAAGCGACGUUCAACCGCAAAACAAGCAGAGGGGGCUUAGUGGUGGGGUGACUGCGUACCUUUUGUAUAAUGGGUCAGCGACUUAUAUUCUGUAGCAAGGUUAACCGUAUAGGGGAGCCGGAGGGA